CACGUAGGGUGCGAGCGUUGUCCGGAAUUAUUGGGCGUAAAGAGCUCGUAGGCGGUGUGUCGCGUCGGCCGUGAAAACCUGCAGCUUAACUGUGGGCUUGCGGUCGAUACGGGCAUCACUGGAGUUCGGCAGGGGAGACUGGAAUUCCUGGUGUAGCGGUGAAAUGCGCAGAUAUCAGGAGGAACACCGGUGGUCGAAGGCGGGUCUCUGGGCCGAUACUGACGCUGAGGAGCGAAAGCGUGGGGAGCGAACAGG
rnacentral:rRNA from 1 species